rnacentral:tRNA from 13 species
GUCAGAAUGGCCGAGCGGUCUAAGGCGCCAGAUUUAAGCUCCUGGUUCUCGAAGAGCGUGGAGUUCGAACCCACUUCGACA